rnacentral:rRNA from 1 species
UGGCGGCGUGCUUAACACAUGCAAGUCGAACGAUGAAGCCCUUCGGGGUGGAUUAGAGGCGAACGGGUGAGUAACACGUGGGCAAUCUGCCCUUCACUCUGGGACAAGGCCUGGAAACGGGGUCUAAUACCGGAUAACACUCCUACUCGCAUGGGUGGGGGUUAAAAGCUCCGGCGGUGAAGGAUGAGCCCGCGGCCUAUCAGCUUGUUGGUGAGGUAACGGCUCACCAAGGCGACGACGGGUUGCCGGCCUGAGAGGGCGACCGGCCCCUCUGGGACUGAGACACGGCCCUUAUUCCUACGGGAGGCAGCAGUGGGGAAUAUUGCACAAUGGGCGAAAGCCUGAUGCAGCGACGCCGCGUGAGGGAUGACGGCCUUCGGGUUGUAAACCUCUUUCAGCAGGGAAGAAGCGAAAGUGACGGUACCUGCAGAAGAAGCGCCGGCUAACUACGUGCCAGCAGCCGCGGUAAUACGUAGGGCGCAAGCGUUGUCCGGAAUUAUUGGGCGUAAAGAGCUCGUAGGCGGCUUGUCACGUCGGGUGUGAAAGCCCGGGGCUUAACCCCGGGUCUGCAUUCGAUACGGGCUAGCUAGAGUGUGGUAGGGGAGAUCGGAAUUCCACGUGUUGCGGUGAAAUGCACACAUAUCUGCAGGAACACCGGUGGCAAAGGCGGAUCUCUGGGCCAUUACUGACGCUGAGGAGCGAAAGCGUGGGGAGCGAACAGGAUUAGAUACCCUGGUAGUCCACGCCGUAAA